UCACGGUCAUCACGGUAGGUGCUAUAAC
rnacentral:piRNA from 1 species